rnacentral:rRNA from 1 species
AUUGAACGCUGGCGGCAGGCCUAACACAUGCAAGUCGAACGAGUGGCGGACGGGUGAGUAAUGUCUGGGACACUGCCCGAUGGAGGGGGAUAACUACUGGACACGGUAACUAAUACCGCAUACAUUCGGAUAUGCCCAGAUCGGAUUAGCUAGUAGGUGGGGUAACGGCUAACCGAGGCGACGAUCCCUAACUGGUCUGAGAGGAUGACCAGACACACUGGAACUGAGACACGGUCCAGACUCCUACGGGAGGCAGCAGUGGGGAAUAUUGCACAAUGGGCGCAAGCCUGAUGCAGCCAUGCCGCGUGUAUGAAGAAGGCCUUCGGGUUGUAAAGUACUUUCAGCGAGGAGGCGUUACUCGCAGAAGAAGCACCGGCUAACUCCGUGCCAGCAGCCGCGGUAAUAC